rnacentral:lncRNA from 1 species
CAGCAGCAGCAGCAGCAGCAACAGCAACAGCUGCAGCAGCAAUAGCAACUCACACGAGUGAUCAGGAAAGGCACAGCCCGCCUACGUGAGGUGGCGGUGCAUGUGCUCGAGCUCCACAUGUUAAGCCACAUCUAUCUUCAAAUGUACCCCGAUGGAACACUGGCAGGUUUGAUGUGAAAGUGGUAAGGGCCUGGUGCAGGGGUGAAAAUGUAGUAUUAUAUAUGGUUGUCCGUAAAUGGCGUCCUUCUGCUUCACAGCGUCCUUCAUCCUGUUCUGCUGCCGCUGAUUGAUUGUAGGUUCUCCCCUCGCUCCCAUCAUUCAUCACAUAUAUCAUAAUCACCCUAUGCUGCUGACGGGCCUGCAUUAGUAAGAAGACCCAAUAUAUAUUAAUGUUCUCGGAUCCAGCACACAUAUUAUGUUCUGACGUGGACUAUAAUAAUAAGUACGCCACCAAACCCAAAACUGGUUCUCCGGCAAUUGAAGCCGUCAAUGUUGGCCCCGCAUGGAGAGGUUUGGAAUUGUAUGGUAAUACAGUGUGGUUUCGAAUAUUGUUGUGUGUAAUUU